UACGAAGGGGGCUAGCGUUGUUCGGAAUCACUGGGCGUAAAGCGCACGCAGGCGGAUUGAUAAGUCAGGGGGGAAAUCCCGGAGCUCAACUUCGGAAUUGCCUUUGAUACUGUCUGUCUUCGAGUUCGGGAGAGGUUGGCGGAAUUCCUAGUGUAGAGGUGAAAUUCGUAGAUAUUAGGAAGAACACCAGUGGCGAAGGCGGCCAACUGGCCCGAUACUGACGCUCAUGUGCGAAAGCGUGGGGAGCAAACAGG
rnacentral:rRNA from 1 species